rnacentral:tRNA from 18 species
GCCGGCUUAGCUCAGUUGGUAGAGCACCUGAUUUGUAAUCAGGGGGUCGCGGGUUCGAUCCCUGCAGCCGGCACCA